GAUGAACGCUGGCGGCGUGCCUAACACAUGCAAGUCGAACGCUCGCAAGAGAGUGGCGCACGGGUGAGUAACACGUAGCUAAUCUGCCCUCAAGACAAGGAUAACUGUAGGAAACUACUGCUAAUACUUGAUAAGCUUACGGACUGUAGAGGUCUAUAAGAAAGAUUUAUCGCUUGAGGAUGAGGCUGCGCGCCAUCAGCUAGUUGGUAAGGUAAUGGCUUACCAAGGCGACGACGGCUAGGGGACCUGGGAGGGUGACCCCCACCACUGGGACGU
rnacentral:rRNA from 1 species